rnacentral:rRNA from 1 species
GGACGGGUGAGUAAUGUCUGGGAAACUGCCUGAUGGAGGGGGAUAACUACUGGAAACGGUGGCUAAUACCGCAUAACGUCGCAAGACCAAAGAGGGGGACCUUCGGGCCUCUUGCCAUCAGAUGUGCCCAGAUGGGAUUAGCUUGUUGGUGAGGUAACGGCUCACCAAGGCGACGAUCCCUAGCUGGUCUGAGAGGAUGACCAGCCACACUGGAACUGAGACACGGUCCAGACUCCUACGGGAGGCAGCAGUGGGGAAUAUUGCACAAUGGGCGCAAGCCUGAUGCAGCCAUGCCGCGUGUAUGAAGAAGGCCUUCGGGUUGUAAAGUACUUUCAGCGGGGAGGAAGGUGUUGUGGUUAAUAACCGCAGCAAUUGACGUUACCCGCAGAAGAAGCACCGGCUAACUCCGUGCCAGCAGCCGCGGUAAUACGGAGGGUGCAAGCGUUAAUCGGAAUUACUGGGCGUAAAGCGCACGCAGGCGGUCUGUCAAGUCGGAUGUGAAAUCCCCGGGCUCAACCUGGGAACUGCAUUCGAAACUGGCAGGCUUGAGUCUUGUAGAGGGGGG